UCGAAACCGGGUGGAACCACCAAAUAAUGAAGAGAGUCGUAUAGCGGCCCAAUACGCCACCCGAACGUUACGACUAGUACGGAGAAC
rnacentral:tRNA from 1 species